rnacentral:rRNA from 1 species
AUUGAACGCUGGCGGCAUGCCUUACACAUGCAAGUCGAACGGCAGCACGGGAGCUUGCUCCUGGUGGCGAGUGGCGAACGGGUGAGUAAUACAUCGGAACGUACCCUGAAGUGGGGGAUAACGUAGCGAAAGUUACGCUAAUACCGCAUAUUCUGUGAGCAGGAAAGAGGGGGAUCGCAAGACCUCUUGCUUUAGGAGCGGCCGAUGUCGGAUUAGCUAGUUGGUGAGGUAAAGGCUCACCAAGGCGACGAUCCGUAGCGGGUCUGAGAGGAUGAUCCGCCACACUGGGACUGAGACACGGCCCAGACUCCUACGGGAGGCAGCAGUGGGGAAUUUUGGACAAUGGGCGCAAGCCUGAUCCAGCCAUGCCGCGUGAGUGAAGAAGGCCUGGUUGUAAGCUCUUCGUGGGAGAAUAGCACAGGAUAAUACCUU